rnacentral:lncRNA from 1 species
UGUAAUCUUGGGCCAUGCCCAACCUCUUUUCAGUAAUGAAAGUUUUAAUUUCUCAAAAAAAAAAGCAUCAAAGAUAUAAGUACUAAUUGAUGAUACAAGAUUGCACACAUGGAUCUAAAUUAAGAAGUUGACCCUAGCAUGUGGGCAGUGUGUCCCACCUCCAAUAGAAGAUGGCUGCCUACUAAAAAGGAGUCGACGAGCCAUAAGUCGUCGACCCCACAAGGUCGAUGGCCCCAAAUCCUAAUAGAUGGUCGUCGACCUUGACCAUAGGUAGUCAUUCUGGUGUCAAAACCGAC